UACAGAGGUCUCGAGCGUUAGGCGGAAUCACUGGGCGUAAAGCGCACGUAGGCGGAUUGUUAAGUCAGGGGUGAAAUCCUGGAGCUCAACUCCAGAACUGCCUUUGAUACUGGCGAUCUUGAGUCCGGGAGAGGUGAGUGGAACUGCGAGUGUAGAGGUGAAAUUCGUAGAUAUUCGCAAGAACACCAGUGGCGAAGGCGGCUCACUGGCCCGGUACUGACGCUGAGGUGCGAAAGCGUGGGGAGCAAACAGG
rnacentral:rRNA from 1 species